GAACGCAUAUUGCGCUCUUUGGUAUUCCGAAGAGCAUGCUUGUUUGAGUAUCAGUAAACACCUCAAAGACUUCAAUUUGUUUUGAAUGGCUUUGGACUUGAGCACUCCCAACACCAGUCUUUACGAUCGGUGGAGGGUUGCUUGAAAUGCAGGUGCAGCUGGACAUUCUCCUGAGCUAAAAGCAUAUUUAUUUAGUCCCGUCAAACGGAUUAUUACUUUUGCUGCAGCUAACAUAAAGGGAGUUUGACCGUAUUGGCUGACUGAUGCAGGAUUUCACAAGGGUCGGCAACGAUUCUUGUAAAACUCGAUCUCAAAUCAAGUAAGACUACCCGCUGAACUUAAG
rnacentral:misc_RNA from 1 species